rnacentral:rRNA from 1 species
GAUGAACGCUGGCGGCGUGCCUAAUACAUGCAAGUCGAGCGAACGGACGAGAAGCUUGCUUCUCUGAUGUUAGCGGCGGACGGGUGAGUAACACGUGGAUAACCUACCUAUAAGACUGGGAUAACUUCGGGAAACCGGAGCUAAUACCGGAUGAUAUUUUGAACCGCAUGGUUCAAAAGUGAAAGACGGUCUUGCUGUCACUUAUAGAUGGAUCCGCGCUGCAUUAGCUAGUUGGUAAGGUAACGGCUUACCAAGGCAACGAUGCAUAGCCGACCUGAGAGGGUGAUCGGCCACACUGGAACUGAGACAAGGUCCAGACUCCUACGGGAGGCAGCAGUAGGGAAUCUUCCGCAAUGGGCGAAAGCCUGAAGGAGCAACGCCGCGUGAGUGAUGAAGGUCUUCGGAUCGUAAAACUCUGUUAAUAGGGAAGAACAUAUGUGUAAGUAACUGUGCACAUCUUGAAGGUACCUAAUCAGAAAGCCACGGCUAAAUACGUG